UGUAGUCAUAUGCUUGUCUCAAAGAUUAAGCCAUGCAGGUCUAAGUAUGAGCCGAAAUAAAGUGAAACCGCGAAUGGCUCAUUACAUCAGUUAUGGUUCCUUAGAUCUUCGGUAUCCUACUUGGAUAACCCUGGAAAUUCUAGAGCUAAUACAUGCGUAUGUAGCUCCGACCCUCGGGAAGGGGCGUUUUUGUUAGACCAAAGCCAAUCGGGGAGCAAUCCUCGAACACUUGGUGAGUCUGAACAACUUUGAGCGGAUCGCACGGUCUCGUACCGGCGACAACUCUUUCAAAUGUCUGCCUUAUCAACUUGAUGGUAGGCUAUGUGCCUACCAUGGUGACAACGGGUAACGGGGAAUGGGGC
rnacentral:rRNA from 1 species